rnacentral:rRNA from 1 species
AACGAACGUUGGCGGCAUGGAUUAGGCAUGCAAGUCGCACGAAUCCCAUCUGGGUAACUGGGUGGGGAAGGUGGCGAAAGGGCAGUAAGGCGUGGGUAACUUGCCCCCGGAGUUCGGAAUAGCCUUCCUAACGGAUGGGUAAUACCGAAUGCCGUAUCGAGGGGGCAUCCUCUUGAUACGAAAGUUACGGCGCUCCGGGAGGGCCCACGUAGUAUUAGCUAGUUGGUGAGGUAACGGCUCACCAAGGCCAAGAUGCUUAGCAGGUGUGAGAGCACGACCUGCGCCACUGGCACUGGGACACUGGCCAGACUCCUACGGGAGGCUGCAGUCGAGGAUCUUCGGCAAUGGGCGCAAGCCUGACCGAGCGAUGCCGCGUGUGCGAUGAAGGCC